UUCCACAUGUCAGCAAACCGAGAACCCAAGAGAGCUGGGAAAUGACAACAAGUGCACUAUAAUUCACAAGAGGAACAGGGGUUCUUAAAUCACACCGGAGGUUCACAGGAACAGCUCGAAUAUGGAUCUGAAACCGUUGUAUGGUUUGAUGUGAAAACAUUUGAAAUCUCCGGCUCCAGCACCAGCUUCGUGUUUGCAACCGCUCAGUAGAUGCAUGAAGCUGAAUCAGGAUGUGGUUUUGUUACAGCAUUGUGGGUCGCCUCUGAAGGGAUCACUGAGUCGAGCAGCUUUCUUCUCCUCUUCUGUUCAGGGAGGAUGAACGGAGAAUUUCUAAAUGCAAGAGAAAUGUGGGACACCAACAUCUCCAGAGACAGAAGGAGAGGAGUAGCAGGGAGCUGCCGAGCGACGACAGGAGAUGGAGCUGUGCCGGGCAGAGUUAGCAGAGACGUUCCACAGGCAACUUCUCUCCCUUAUGAGCCAGCAGGUUUUGUCCAGGAAGCUGGGACAUCCUGCACCACAGCUCUGGGCAUAACAUCUGCUGUUUGAUCAUUUUGUCAUUUUUUUAAUCAACUCAAUAUUGUUCUGACCGAGAGUUUGAUUUUGCUGAAUUGAAAGUUCCUUUUUUAAAUUUAUAAAACGGUCACAUAGGAACUUAGCUCGAUAACUGCAUCCAACCCCAAGGCUUCCCCUUUGCUCUUCGAAAGAACUAAGCAAGUUAUUUAUAAACUGCAUUUCCUGUUCACAGCUAGAGAACGAUUUAAAUAUUAGAGACAGCCAGGGACAGAAUUCACUCUCGAUUAGCGAUGGUUUCAAAUCAGCCGCACUGUGUGAGUAAAUGACAAUGAGCAUUAUUAGAUGAGGGCCUCUUCACAUGCACCACUGCUGCAGGGAAUUUUGGAGACAGCCUUUAAUUUCACCCGCAUAUGGCAAAUGUGUUCAGUUCCCCUUUCUAACCCUGUAACAGAUACAAUAUUCUGGCUGCCUGGUGCUUAAACAGUUGUGUUUUUAUUUAAACACUCUCUGGGGUGUUUAUUAUAGUUGACCUUUUACCUAGACUUAGACUUUUUCCAUGUUUCAUAUAAAGUUAUCACAUGAGGGAGAGUACCUGGGAUUCUUGUAAAAAUUCUGUUUAGUUAUUCUGAUAAUGAAAUAAUGUCAUACAUUUGAUAUCUAUUUAUUGCCAAGAAACAAGAAACAACAAGGAGAUCAUAAUAUAACGCAACAAGUGUAUUGAAAUGAGCAAAACUAUGCCUCCUUGGCAAUACCCUCAUGUGAAGUUGGAGCUACAUGCUCUCAAGGGCCCCUCCCUGACUCAGCUCUUAGGGCGAUUCAACAUUUCCUGUUUACAAGCCAAUGGGGAACACACAUUACAAACCCCUUAUCGCACUAUGAGCACUGAGAGCACUGCUGCUGCCCGACACCAGACUGCUCCCUAAGGAGAGCCCCAUCAGCUGAGGAAAUGUGAUACUCUGCGUCCAGCCUGGUCAACCAUGCUCAAACCUGGUGAGCCCACACGGAGACAAACGCCUGACAUUUUGACCUCUUCAUUAACCUUCAGUCAGGAGGAGUUCCGAAAGAAAAUGUGACCAUAUGAAUCCAGCUUUCAAUAUUUGUUCAGUAUUUGAUGUGAGUCCAUAGACUGUAAGAUGGACAACACUCCACUUCCUCUCACUAUCCAGAAAUGAAGUUACAGAUAGGAACUCUGCCAUCUAGCACAAGAGGAAGAGUCUGCGCAGAAGCGAUAUGGGGAUGAAUCCAUUGUAGCAUGGUCCAAUAAUAAGAACUUCAAAAUUUCAAAAGAUAAUUUUUUGUUUGGUCCAUGAACCGUCUAUGAACAAGGAGGAGGCAGGAUUUAUGACCUAUUCUGCAGUCUGAAGUCAAAUUAUCAUGUUGAAGAUUUAUCCCACAAUAAGAUGCUGUGUUUCUUUUUUGGACUUUACUACAGUCAUAGCAUGAAACCAAACAUUAUUAGAUAUAUGAGGACUUUCUUUUUACAUUUCUGUUUGUGUACAGAUAUGGAUGGCUGUUAAUUAAAGAAG